rnacentral:rRNA from 1 species
UUGCCCUAGUAACGGCGAGUGAAGCGGCAACAGCUCAAAUUUGAAAUCUGGCCCUAGCGGUCCGAGUUGUAAUUUGUAGAGGAUGCUUUUGGUGAGGUGCCUUCCGAGUUCCCUGGAACGGGACGCCGGAGAGGGUGAGAGCCCCGUACGGUUGGACGCCAAACCUCUGUAUAGCUCCUUCGACGAGUCGAGUAGUUUGGGAAUGCUGCUCUAAAUGGGAGGUAAAUUUCUUCUAAAGCUAAAUACCGGCCAGAGACCGAUAGCGCACAAGUAGAGUGAUCGAAAGAUGAAAAGCACUUUGAAAAGAGGGUUAAAUAGCACGUGAAAUUGUUGAAAGGGAAGCGUUUGCGACCAGACUUUUUCCAGGCGGAUCAUCCGGCGUUCUCGCCGGUGCACUCCGCCUGGUUGAGGCCAGCAUCGGUUUCCUUAGGGGGAUAAAGGCCUGGGGAACGUAGCUCCUUCGGGAGUGUUAUAGCCCCUGGCGUAAUACCCCUCGGGGGACCGAGGAACGCGCUCUGCAAGGAUGCUGGCGUAAUGGUCGUCAACGACCCGUCUUGAAACACGGACCAAGGAGUCGAACAUUUGUGCGAGUGUUUGGGUGUCAAACCCUCACGCGUAAUGAAAGUGAACGGAGGUGAGAGCCCUUACGGGUGCAUCAUCGACCGAUCCUGAUGUCUUCGGAUGGAUUUGAGUAAGAGCAUAACUGUUCGGACCCGAAAGAUGGUGAACUAUGCGUGGAUAGGGUGAAGCCAGAGGAAACUCUGGUGGAGGCUCGCAGCGGUUCUGACGUGCAAAUCGAUCGUCAAAUCUGCGCAUGGGGGCGAAAGACUAUCG